UACGGAGGGUGCGAGCGUUGUCCGGAAUCACUGGGCGUAAAGGGCGCGUAGGUGGCGCGGCAAGUCAACGGUGAAAACUCGAGGCUCAACCUCGAGACGCCGGUGGAAACUGCAAAGCUAGAGUCCGGAAGAGGAGAGUGGAAUUCCUGGUGUAGCGGUGAAAUGCGCAGAUAUCAGGAAGAACACCCGUGGCGAAGGCGGCUCUCUGGGACGGUACUGACGCUGAGACGCGAAAGCGUGGGGAGCGAACAGG
rnacentral:rRNA from 1 species